rnacentral:rRNA from 1 species
GGAUCAUUACCGAGUUUACAACUCCCAAACCCCAAUGUGAACGUUACCAAUCUGUUGCCUCGGCGGGAUUCUCUUGCCCCGGGCGCGUCGCAGCCCCGGAUCCCAUGGCGCCCGCCGGAGGACCAACUCCAAACUCUUUUUUUCUCUCCGUCGCGGCUCCCGUCGCGGCUCUGUUUUAUUUUUGCUCUGAGCCUUUCUCGGCGACCCUAGCGGGCGUCUCGAAAAUGAAUCAAAACUUUCAACAACGGAUCUCUUGGUUCUGGCAUCGAUGAAGAACGCAGCGAAAUGCGAUAAGUAAUGUGAAUUGCAGAAUUCAGUGAAUCAUCGAAUCUUUGAACGCACAUUGCGCCCGCCAGUAUUCUGGCGGGCAUGCCUGUCCGAGCGUCAUUUCAACCCUCGAACCCCUCCGGGGGGUCGGCGUUGGGGAUCGGCCCCUCACCGGGCCGCCCCCGAAAUACAGUGGCGGUCUCGCCGCAGCCUCUCCUGCGCAGUAGUUUGCACACUCGCACCGGGAGCGCGGCGCGGCCACAGCCGUAAAACACCCCAAACUUCUGAAAUGUUGACCUCGGAUCAGGUAGGAAUACCCGCUGAACUUAAGCAUAU